rnacentral:rRNA from 1 species
GACGAACGCUGGCGGCGUGCCUAAUACAUGCAAGUCGAACGCUUCUUUCCUCCCGUUUGCUUGCCCUCCAUUGGAAAGCGGAGUUGCGGACCGGUGAGUAACACGUGCGUAACCUACCCAUCAGCGUGGGAUAACACUUGGAAACAGGUGCUAAUACCGCAUAACAGUUUAUGCCGCAUGGCAUAAGAGUGAAAGGCGCUUUCGGGUGUCGCUGAUGGCUGGACCCGCGGUGCAUUAGCUAGUUGGUGAGGUAACGGCUCACCAAGGCCACGAUGCAUAGCCGACCUGAGAGGGUGAUCGGCCACACUGGGACUGAGACACGGCCCAGACUCCUACGGGAGGCAGCAGUAGGGAAUCUUCGGCAAUGGACGAAAGUCUGACCGAGCAACGCCGCGUGAGUGAAGAAGGUUUUCGGAUCGUAAAACUCUGUUGUUAGAGAAGAACAAGGACGUUAGUAACUGAACGUCCCCUGACGGUAUCUAACCAGAAAGCCACGGCUAACUACGUG